rnacentral:lncRNA from 1 species
CAUGGAUAAACAGCUCGACUUGAGGACAAGUCGCCUAAAAGAGGGGGGGAAUGAUACGAGCACGCCCCGCGAACUUUAUCGAGCAAGUCUGUCAAGUCGAGCAAUGACAUGUUGGCAAGCUGAUCCAAGCUCGUUUCCAGCUCCACGAGCUCCGUCCAGCUCAAAUCCAGCUUAUUCGAGCUCAAUCCAUCUUGCCUGAGCUAAACCGAGCUCACUCCUAGCUCACUUUCAAC